rnacentral:lncRNA from 1 species
UUCGAGCUUGGCUGGAGAGUGCGGUCGGACCACGCAGCUGGAAGACGCGGCAGGGUUUUGGUAGAGCCGCAACCGGGCUCUCAAUCGUAGAGCUGGGAAAAGAAAUGCGGCGGGCACAGUCGGAGGAGCUGGGGCCGGAUAAAGUUGGGCAGCUACCAAAAAUGCAAGCGGCCAGAUUUAAUGUGAACAAUUCCUAGCGGCCGAAGAAUAUCUAGCGGCCGAGAAUUCCUAGUUGCACAAUUCCUAGCGGGCGAAGAAUUCCUAGUGGGCGAGGAAUUCCUAGCAACCGAGAAUUCCUAGCGGCCGAAGAAUUCCUAGCGGACGAGAAUUCCUAGCAGGG